UACGUAGGGGGCGAGCGUUGUCCGGAUUUAUUGGGCGUAAAGAGCUCGUAGGCGGUUCGAUAAGUCUGCUGUGAAAGUCCAGGGCUCAACCCUGGAAAGCCGGUGGAUACUGUCGGACUAGAGUUCGGAAGAGGCGAGUGGAAUUCCCGGUGUAGCGGUGAAAUGCGCAGAUAUCGGGAGGAACACCGGUGGCGAAGGCGGUUCUCUGGGCCUGACCUGACGCUGAGGAGCGAAAGCGUGGGUAGCGAACAGG
rnacentral:rRNA from 1 species